ensembl:lncRNA
UUAGUUACACUGUGAACAGGUUACUAUGUAACAUGUUAGUUACACGGUGAACCGGCUACUAUGUAACAUCUUAGUUACACAGUGAACCGGCUACUAUGUAACAUGUUAGUUACACGGUGAACCGGUUACUAUGUAACAUCUUAGUUACACGGUGAACAGGUUACUAUGUAACAUGUUAGUUACACGGUGAACCGGCUACUAUGUAACAUCUUAGUUACACAGUGAACCGGCUACUAUGUAACAUGUUAGUUACACGGUGAACCGGUUACUAUGUAACAUGUUAGUUACACAGUGAAACGGUUACUAUGUAACAUGUUAGUUACACGGUGAACCGGCUACUAUGUAACAUCUUAGUUACACAGUGAACCGGCUACUAUGUAACAUGUUAGUUACACGGUGAACCGGUUACUAUGUAACAUGUUAGUUACACGGUGAACAGGUUACUAUGUAACAUCUUAGUUACACAGUGAACAGGUUACUAUGUAACAUCUUAGUUACACAGUGAACAGGCUACUACUAUAGACUUCUCAGAGUGUAAUUAGUAAUAUUCCAGGUUGACUUAUAUUUGCCACAAACGCGUUGUGUGUUACUUUGUCUUUCACCUGCUGCUGCAGCUUCAGAAGCUGCUGCUGUUUCUCCUGUAAGACCUGCAGCUGCUGCUCCGCAGACACCAUGGCGUGGGACAGCGAUUGGAGCGCCACCUGGGCUGCAGAGCUCAGAGCUGUAGAAGCUUCACCAACUGUCCCUGCCGACAGGCCGCCCACCGCAGGUGUCACACCAAACGUACUCAC